rnacentral:lncRNA from 1 species
UAAGUAAAUUUUAAGAUUACCUAAAUGCAGAAUCUCAAGUAAACAGACAUCAGAUGCCUGAUAACAGAGUGCAGUGUUGUUUAUACUUCGUUGCUCCUUCAGGACAUGGACUUAAACCAUUGGAUAUUGAGUUUAUGAAACGUUUGCAUGAAAAAGUGAAUAUCAUCCCACUAUUGCCAAAGCAGACACACUCACACCCAAGGAAUGCCAACAGUUUAAAAAAACAGACAAUGAAAGAAAUUGGAGAACAUAAAAUAUAUGAAUUUCCAGAAUCAAAUGAUGAAGAAGAAAAUAAGCUGGUUAAAAAGAAAAAGGACCGUUUACCGCUUGCUGUGGUAGGUAGUAAUAUUAUCAUUGAAGUUAAUGGCAAAAGGAUCAGAGGAAAGCCAUAUCCUUGGGGUGUGGCUGAAAUUGAAAAUGGUAAACAUUGUGAUUUUACAAUUCUAAGAAAUAUGUUGAUAAUAACACACAUGCAGGACUUGAAAGAUGUUACAUAGUAAUGUACACCAUGAGAACUACAGAAGCAGAAAAUUGGCAGCUGUAACUUAUUAUGGAGUUGAUAACAACAAAAUAAGGAACAGCUUAUGAAGAGUCCCUGGCGCAAAUGGAAGAAGAAAGAAGGGAGCAUGUAGCCAAGAUGGAGAAGAUGGAGACAGAGAUAGAGCAAGUGUUUGAGAUGAAGGUCAAAGAUAAAGUUCAAAAACUGAAGGACUCCAAAGCUGAGCUUCAGAGAUGCCAUAGGUAAAUGAAAAAGAAUUUGGAAGUGCAGCAUAAGGAAUUAGAGGAAAAAUGUCAUCAGUUUGAGAAGGAGAAGCAAACUGGGAAGCUCAACAAUAAAAUUUAGAACAACAGAACUCUUCAAGGACCUUGGAAAAGAACAAGAAGAAAGGGAAGACCUUUAAACUCUGUACUGACCCCCAGUUACAUAUCAAUUGCCAAUAAUCCAGUUGGACAUCAGUGUUUGUUGGAUCCGUUUGACCAAUUUGCACCAGUUUUAUCCAUAAUGAUGGAUUUAACAGCAUGACAAAAAUUAUUUUUUAUUGUUGUUCUUGAUGGAGAUUAAGAUGCUCUGAAUUUUUUAGGGUGUUGUAUACUUAGAAAGUAACAGCUCUAAGUACCUUUCUACAUUUUCUUUUCCUUUUUUUAAAAUUUUUAUUUAAAAAGAUGUCUUCAAUUUAAUGCAAGAGA